rnacentral:rRNA from 1 species
UAUGUUUGUGUGCCGCAGCCGCGGUAAUACGUAGGGGGCAAGCGUUAUCCGGAUUUACUGGGUGUAAAGGGAGCGUAGGCGGCGGAGCAAGUCAGAAGUGAAAGCCCGGGGCUCAACCCCGGGACGGCUUUUGAAACUGCCCUGCUUGAUUUCAGGAGAGGUAAGCGGAAUUCCUAGUGUAGCGGUGAAAUGCGUAGAUAUUAGGAGGAACACCAGUGGCGAAGGCGGCUUACUGGACUGACAAUGACGCUGAGGCUCGAAAGCGUGGGGAGCAAACAGG